UGGGGAAUUUUGGACAAUGGGGGAAACCCUGAUCCAGCCAUCCCGCGUGUGCGAUGAAGGCCUUCGGGUUGUAAAGCACUUUUGGCAGGAAAGAAACGUCAUGGGUUAAUACCCCGUGAAACUGACGGUACCUGCAGAAUAAGCACCGGCUAACUACGUGCCAGCAGCCGCGGUAAUACGUAGGGUGCAAGCGUUAAUCGGAAUUACUGGGCGUAAAGCGUGCGCAGGCGGUUCGGAAAGAAAGAUGUGAAAUCCCAGAGCUCAACUUUGGAACUGCAUUUUUAACUACCGGGCUAGAGUGUGUCAGAGGGAGGUGGAAUUCCGCGUGUAGCAGUGAAAUGCAUAGAUAUGCGGAGGAACACCGAUAGCGAAGGCAGCCUCCUGGGAUAACACUGACGCUCAUGCACGAAAGCGUGGGGAGCAAACAGG
rnacentral:rRNA from 1 species